rnacentral:tRNA from 1 species
GCCCGGAUGGCGGAAUUGGUAGACGCGCUAGAUUCAGGGUCUAGUGGUCGUAUGGCCGUGGGGGUUCGAGUCCCCCUUCGGGCA